rnacentral:tRNA from 1 species
GGCCCCGUAGCUCAGUUGGUUAGAGCGCCUGCCUGUCACGCAGGAGGUCGCCAGUUCAAGUCUGGUCGGGGUCG